ACUCCUACGGGAGGCAGCAGUAGGGAAUCUUCGGCAAUGGACGAAAGUCUGACCGAGCAACGCCGCGUGAGUGAAGAAGGUCUUCGGAUCGUAAAGCUCUGUUGUC
rnacentral:rRNA from 1 species